CCCCCGUCUUUGUGUGGGGGGUGCUAGAACCCCCCCCCUCCCCGCCCAGGGCACUGACUCUCCUCCUGAGAAGGGGGAGGUGCAAGCUCCCUUCAGCAGGGUGGGGGUCCCAGGGCCACCCCUUUCUUCAUGGCAAGGGGUCCCCUCCCCUGUGCAGCCCCCCCAGGGCUGUGAGCGGGAGACCCAGCUCCCGCCGGGGGUGCAAAGCGCCCAGACUCCCCGAUCCCUCCAGCCCGCAGAUGGAUCCGCCCUCCCCAAGAAACCCCUUCCCCCAACUGCCGGAAACCAAGCCGCGCUCCCUGCCUUUCCCAGCACUGUCGCAACCCCCCUGCUCCCUUCCACGUGGGCAUCGCGCUGCCGUAAAGGCGGAGAGUGAGCGGCGCUCGCCAGAGUAGGGGGAGGCGGGGUCUAGAUUUGCAUAAAUUAGCAUGCGUAAAGAGACGGCGGCUCAGGCUCCGAUCCUGCCCCUCCACGGGGGCCCAGAUGGGAAAUAAGGGCCAGCUGGAGCGGGGCCCGCAGAGAACAAAGAUGGAAUACAGAGCUGCUACAGGAAGAGCUGGGAUAGCGGCACAGAUGUUAUGUCCCUGCAAUUUAUCCAUCAGCCACUAAACUCUGAUUAUACUAGCCUGAGAGAAAGGGCCCAAAAAACACUUAAGGACUCAAAGCUAGAGAAGCAUGUGUCAGGCUUUAAUUGCAUGGCUCAAGGAAACAGUUCUUCCUGAGAAAUAAUACAAUUUUGUUUGAUCAAAACAUAACACUCACUGGGUGGCUGGCAGAUGAGAUGUCCCUUUACACUUCCAUUCUUCUCAUGCUAUGGCUAUAUUUGUGUAUGUCUGUAUGAGCAGAUGACCUACGCAAGCUCAUGAAUUGCAAGACUUAAACAUCCUUUGGUGGGGCUGGAAAUAAGUAGUUGUGCUUAAACACUGUUUUCUUCCUGAUCCUUAGUGGUAUUCACCUUGUGGUCUGAAGAAUGAGGAUUAAUAACCCAUGCAUUUUUGUCCAUCCCACUGUCACUGCAGCUUAAGAACAUAAGAGCGGCCAGACCAAAGGUCUAUCUAGCCUAGUGUCUUGUCUUCUGACAGUGGCCAAUGCCAGGUGCCCCAGAAGGAAUGAACAGAAUAGGUAAUCAUCAAGUAAUCCAUCCCCUGUUGCCCAUUCCCAGCUUUUGGCAAACAGAGGCUAGGGACAUCAUCCCUGCCCAUCUUGGCUAGUAGCCAUUGAUGGACCUAUCCUCCAUGAACUUAUCUAGUUCUUUUUUGAACCCUGUUAUAUAGUCUUGGCCUUCACAACAUCCUCUGGCAAAGAGUUCCACAGGUUGACUGUGUGUUGUGUGAAGAAAGACUUCUUUUGUUUGUUUAAAACCCGCUACCUAUUCA